GUACACAAAAAUGCACAUGCUGUGAGCUCGAUGAGUAGGGCGGGACACGUGGUAUCCUGUCUGAAUAUGGGGGGACCAUCCUCCAAGGCUAAAUACUCCUGACUGACCGAUAGUGAACCAGUACCGUGAGGGAAAGGCGAAAAGAACCCCGGCGAGGGGAGUGAAAAAGAACCUGAAACCGUGUACGUACAAGCAGUGGGAGCACGCUUAGGCGUGUGACUGCGUACCUUUUGUAUAAUGGGUCAGCGACUUAUAUUCUGUAGCAAGGUUAACCGAAUAGGGGAGCCGAAGGGAAACCGAGUCUUAACUGGGCGUUAAGUUGCAGGGUAUAGACCCGAAACCCGGUGAUCUAGCCAUGGGCAGGUUGAAGGUUGGGUAACACUAACUGGAGGACCGAACCGACUAAUGUUGAAAAAUUAGCGGAUGACUUGUGGCUGGGGGUGAAAGGCCAAUCAAACCGGGAGAUAGCUGGUUCUCCCCGAAAGCUAUUUAGGUAGCGCCUCGUGAAUUCAUCUCCGGGGGUAGAGCACUGUUUCGGCAAGGGGGUCAUCCCGACUUACCAACCCGAUGCAAACUGCGAAUACCGGAGAAUGUUAUCACGGGAGACACACGGCGGGUGCUAACGUCCGUCGUGAAGAGGGAAACAACCCAGACCGCCAGCUAAGGUCCCAAAGUCAUGGUUAAGUGGGAAACGAUGUGGGAAGGCCCAGACAGCCAGGAUGUUGGCUUAGAAGCAGCCAUCAUUUAAAGAAAGCGUAAUAGCUCACUGGUCGAGUCGGCCUGCGCGGAAGAUGUAACGGGGCUAAACCAUGCACCGAAGCUGCGGCAGCGACACUGUGUGUUGUUGGGUAGGGGAGCGUUCUGUAAGCCUGCGAAGGUGUGCUGUGAGGCAUGCUGGAGGUAUCAGAAGUGCGAAUGCUGACAUAAGUAACGAUAAAGCGGGUGAAAAGCCCGCUCGCCGGAAGACCAAGGGUUCCUGUCCAACGUUAAUCGGGGCAGGGUGAGUCGACCCCUAAGGCGAGGCCGAAAGGCGUAGUCGAUGGGAAACAGGUUAAUAUUCCUGUACUUGGUGUUACUGCGAAGGGGGGACGGAGAAGGCUAUGUUGGCCGGGCGACGGUUGUCCCGGUUUAAGCGUGUAGGCUGGUUUUCCAGGCAAAUCCGGAAAAUCAAGGCUGAGGCGUGAUGACGAGGCACUACGGUGCUGAAGCAACAAAUGCCCUGCUUCCAGGAAAAGCCUCUAAGCAUCAGGUAACAUCAAAUCGUACCCCAAACCGACACAGGUGGUCAGGUAGAGAAUACCAAGGCGCUUGAGAGA
rnacentral:rRNA from 1 species